GUGGCUAUCCUUAGCUUCUUUCAGUUCUCAAGGGAAUGCUACCAACUUCAGUAUGAUGUUGGCUGUGGAUUUGUCACACAUGAAUACAUGGCUUUUAUUACUUUUGAAGCAUGUUCCUUCAAUGCCUAGUGUUUUGUGAGUUUCUAUCAUGAAGCUUAACUAAUGCUUGUGAUGUUUAACGCCUGUCUUUUCAACUUGGUCUACUGAGUCUUCAAUACUGGUGACUGAGCUGCUUGAAGUGAACUCUGGACAAGGUGGAGAGCAUCUUCUUGAUUUAAGGUCUGAUAAAAACUAGCAGUCUUUCAAUUUAUCCAGUAAAAUGGGUCAUAACAAUACAACUAUAUGGUAUAUUUUGUUUCCAAAAUUAAAAACGUCCUAACAAUCACUGUGCUUCUAUUUUAGCAGUAGUGGGUAAAUGGAGCUACGAUCUUUAUUUUUUUUACCUUGGAAGAAAUAUCACACACAUACAUGUACACACAAUGACUCCUUGAAACUUUAUUUAGAAGGCAGACUCUGAGACUUAUCUCUCUCAGCAUUCAGAAUGUGUAAGUCUUGCCAACUCAUUCAGGAUAGCUCCUUUUUUUCUCACCAGGUCUUGACAUUAUAAAUGUUAUAGACCAAUACGCUAUGUUUGAGAGUAGUGAAAUGAUCAGUGUCCCUCUGGAUUAAUUCGGACCUUUAAUAGGAGAGUUGAUGUAACACAGAGGUAAGAAAAUGAGGGUCUACUGCUGUUCCCUGAUAGAUUUAAUCAAAUUACAUCUGGUGCUUUCUCUUAAAGAAUGGAGAAAAAGCCGUUAGCAGAUGGAGAGUUGCAUAUCAGGGGAUGCAUUAAUUUUCUCCGCAGUAAUUUUUCAGGACACGUCUGUACAGACCAGUUAAGUAAGCUAAA
rnacentral:lncRNA from 10 species